GAUAAUCAAAGCGUACAUAAUCUGUACAGGAAUAGAAUAAUUCUGAAACUUCUUACUCAUGUCCAUUGCAUAAAGGAAAUGCAAAGGUAGGAUACUUGCCUGAUUCGCUGAUUACAAAUCUCAACUUAGGUUUUAUCUCUUUAUCACAACCUAUCAAUAAUCAGAUCAUUCGUUCGAUUAGAACAAUAUAUCUUAACACAUAGUACUGUCUAUUACAGUCAGCACAUAGUCCAAUCACAUAAUCACAGUGAUCAUACUUUUAGUUCCUAUUCUAUACUUGAAAUAUUUUUAUACAUUUUUCAAAUAUCUCAUCCAUGCUCUUACAGUAGUCUUUUCUUUCUUUUAUAAGGUCUGACAUUUGUCGGCGUACCGACAGCUUUAUCGGGUAAAUACUGAGUCUAAGACUCUUAUUCUAUACCUCAACAUCUGUAAAUAUCAG
rnacentral:lncRNA from 1 species